rnacentral:sRNA from 1 species
AUCGCGGGACACACGUCCCUGUGACUCGCCCCUGCCCAGCCUUACAUCCACGCGUUGCAACUCUGGCAACCGUUCGGGCGACACAGGGGAGAAACCGGCGGGGGCACCCAGCUACACGACGAUCGGUAACGAUCCAGUUGCUCAAAGUUGCCUACGCCGGCUCUCGACACCCA